UACGGAGGGUGCAAGCGUUAAUCGGAAUCACUGGGCGUAAAGCGCACGUAGGCUGUUUGGUAAGUCAGGGGUGAAAUCCCGCAGCUCAACUGCGGAAUUGCCCUUGAUACUGCUGGACUUGAGUUCGGGAGAGGGUGGCGGAAUUCCAGGUGUAGGAGUGAAAUCCGUAGAUAUCUGGAGGAACAUCAGUGGCGAAGGCGGCCACCUGGACCGAUACUGACGCUGAGGUGCGAAAGCGUGGGGAGCAAACAGG
rnacentral:rRNA from 1 species